GGGGCCGUAGCUCAGUUGGGAGAGCGCGUGAAUGGCAUUCACGAGGUCGUCGGUUCGAUCCCGUCCGGCUCCACCA
rnacentral:tRNA from 6 species